GACGAACGCUGGCGGCGUGCUUAACACAUGCAAGUCGAACGGAAAGGCCCUGCUUUUGUGGGGUGCUCGAGUGGCGAACGGGUGAGUAACACGUGAGUAACCUGCCCUUGACUUUGGGAUAACUUCAGGAAACUGGGGCUAAUACCGGAUAGGAGCUCCUGCUGCAUGGUGGGGGUUGGAAAGUUUCGGCGGUUGGGGAUGGACUCGCGGCUUAUCAGCUUGUUGGUGGGGUAGUGGCUUACCAAGGCUUUGACGGGUAGCCGGCCUGAGAGGGUGACCGGCCACAUUGGGACUGAGAUACGGCCCAGACUCCUACGGGAGGCAGCAGUGGGGAAUAUUGCACAAUGGGCGGAAGCCUGAUGCAGCAACGCCGCGUGCGGGAUGACGGCCUUCGGGUUGUAAACCGCUUUCGCCUGUGACGAAGCGUGAGUGACGGUAAUGGGUAAAGAAGCACCGGCUAACUACGUGCCAGCAGCCGCGGUGAUACGUAGGGUGCGAGCGUUGUCCGGAUUUAUUGGGCGUAAAGGGCUCGUAGGUGGUUGAUCGCGUCGGAAGUGUAAUCUUGGGGCUUAACCCUGAGCGUGCUUUCGAUACGGGUUGACUUGAGGAAGGUAGGGGAGAAUGGAAUUCCUGGUGGAGCGGUGGAAUGCGCAGAUAUCAGGAGGAACACCAGUGGCGAAGGCGGUUCUCUGGGCCUUUCCUGACGCUGAGGAGCGAACGCGUGGGGAGCGAACAGGCUUAGAUACCCUGGUAGUCCACGCUGUAAACGGUGGGUACUAGGUGUGGGGUCCAUUCCACGGGUUCCGUGCCGUAGCUAACGCUUUAAGUACCCCGCCUGGGGAGUACGGCCGCAAGGCUAAAACUCAAAGGAAUUGACGGGGCCCCGCACAAGCGGCGGAGCAUGCGGAUUAAUUCGAUGCAACGCGUAGAACCUUACCUGGGUUUGACAUGGAUCGGGAGUGCUCAGAGAUGGGUGUGCCUCUUUUGGGGUCGGUUCACAGGUGGUGCAUGGCUGUCGUCAGCUCGUGUCGUGAGAUGUUGGGUUAAGUCCCGCAACGAGCGCAACCCUUGUUCACUGUUGCCAGCACGUUAUGGUGGGGACUCAGUGGAGACCGCCGGGGUCAACUCGGAGGAAGGUGGGGAUGACGUCAAGUCAUCAUGCCCCUUAUGUCCAGGGCUUCACGCAUGCUACAAUGGCUGGUACAGAGAGUGGCGAGCCUGUGAGGGUGAGCGAAUCUCGGAAAGCCGGUCUCAGUUCGGAUUGGGGUCUGCAACUCGACCUCAUGAAGUCGGAGUCGCUAGUAAUCGCAGAUCAGCAACGCUGCGGUGAAUACGUUCCCGGG
rnacentral:rRNA from 1 species